ACAUCAUACACGACUGAAGGGUAUAACACACACACAUUCAUCAUACAUUAAUACAAAAAUACACAUGUCAUAAUACGAAUACAUACAUGAUGGGAUACAAAAAUUUGCAGUAAGGCAUACAUAGCAUACAAGAGGGGACCGCAAAAAAAAUCAAAAUCAAAACACCAAAAGAAUGUACAAGCAAUCACCAAAAAGCAUUUUCAGCAGAGGAUGAUUUCACAAGCCACUCACAGAACAAUCCCAUAAAAUCAGAGAUUCAAACAAACCUCUCCAACGGAAUUAUUCCGAAUCUUCAGCUCACGUAUUUCUCAAAAAAAAUUCACAGGAGUAAAGGAAGAAAAAUCUGAAUUUCCACACGAGCCAAGUGAAAAUUGCAAUGAAACUCACACGUAUUUUGUUUCCUCAUAACUCCCAAAUUUUAUAAUGAGUGGGAUGUGUGAACCGAUUUAAAAUUGGUGAGGUUGAUUGCACUAGGUCAUGUGGUCAUUCUUGCUAAUAAUGGACAUGUUUGAAGGUUAAAUUGGAGAAGAAGGUGGCUUAAUGAUAAAGCUUAGCAUUAAGUCCUUACUAGUGAACCAUGGUUGCAGGAUGAAUUUCUUUGGUGAUGAAGAAAUAUGGCUUGAAGGUAGCUUGGAAUGGCUCGAAGAUGGCAAGUUUCAACAUUUUAGUAACCUUAGGUUUUUUUGUUGUUGUAGACAUUUAGGUUUCAAUUCCAUAAUGUAACGAAAGCUCAAAAAUAGAGCAUGAUGGCCUUGUAUCUUGAACAUAUAAUUUCCAAAUGCAAUGUAAU